AUUGAACGCUGGCGGCAUGCCUUACACAUGCAAGUCGAACGGUAACAGGUCUUCGGAUGCUGACGAGUGGCGAACGGGUGAGUAAUACAUCGGAACGUGCCCGAUCGUGGGGGAUAACGGAGCGAAAGCUUUGCUAAUACCGCAUACGAUCUACGGAUGAAAGCAGGGGACCGCAAGGCCUUGCGCGGACGGAGCGGCCGAUGGCAGAUUAGGUAGUUGGUGGGAUAAAAGCUUACCAAGCCGACGAUCUGUAGCUGGUCUGAGAGGACGACCAGCCACACUGGGACUGAGACACGGCCCAGACUCCUACGGGAGGCAGCAGUGGGGAAUUUUGGACAAUGGGCGAAAGCCUGAUCCAGCCAUGCCGCGUGCAGGAUGAGGGCCUUCGGGUUGUAAACUGCUUUUGUACGGAACGAAAAGACUCUUUCUAAUAAAGAGGGUCCAUGACGGUACCGUAAGAAUAAGCACCGGCUAACUACGUGCCAGCCGCCGCCGUAA
rnacentral:rRNA from 1 species